GACGAACGCUGGCGGCGUGCUUAACACAUGCAAGUCGAACGGAAAGGCCCUGCUUUUGUGGGGUGCUCGAGUGGCGAACGGGUGAGUAACACGUGAGUAACCUGCCCUUGACUUUGGGAUAACUUCAGGAAACUGGGGCUAAUACCGGAUAGGAGCUCCUGCUGCAUGGUGGGGGUUGGAAAGUUUCGGCGGUUGGGGAUGGACUCGCGGCUUAUCAGCUUGUUGGUGGGGUAGUGGCUUACCAAGGCUUUGACGGGUAGCCGGCCUGAGAGGGUGACCGGCCACAUUGGGACUGAGAUACGGCCCAGACUCCUACGGGAGGCAGCAGUGGGGAAUAUUGCACAAUGGGCGGAAGCCUGAGGCAGCAACGCCGCGUGCGGGAUGACGGCCUUCGGGUUGUAAACCGCUUUGGCCUGUGACGAAGCGUGAGUGACGGUAAUGGGUAAAGAAGCACCGGCUAACUACGUG
rnacentral:rRNA from 1 species